ensembl:lncRNA
CUCUGUGUGGCAGAGCGCCGCGAUUCCACUCAGAGCGGGGCUUCAUGAGGAGGUAGGAGCGGACCGGAGAGCUGACACGUCGAGCGGUUUCACGCUCCUUCAGGAUACCGACUCCAGAGAGAGGCGUCCCGGGGUCAGCUCGGACACCAGCCCGGACACCAGCCCGGACAUGGCGGAGGAGGCCUGCGAGCAGAUGCGCCCUCUCCUCCUCACAUCUGUAAGUGCUUUCCUGGCCCUCACCGCCAACUUCCACAGUAAAACUGUCCAGAAAGACCAGAGAUGGGCUGUUAUGGUCCGCUUGGAGGGCGCGUUUGGGAGCGAGGUGUUCCAGGUGGUGCCGGGCGUCAGUCCCGGCGGGGAUCCGAGCCCUAGUCCUCCUCUUUCUGAUCCCCAGACGAGUCGGGUCGCUCCUUUUGUUGUUGAGUAACCACGCGUCUGCCAGGAAGUGCGUCUCCGGUCUCAUCUCUGAUCACAGGAUGGGGAUGGGGGUGUGGGACACAAUGGGCGACAUGUGCUCCUCGUCCCGGGCCGGUUCGCCAGCCCAGGGACCCGGGACCACAGCCCAGGUACAUGGUCUCCCCCGGCCACGGGACCCGGGACCACAGCCCCAGGUCUCUCCCAGUCCCGGUUGGGUGGACCCGGUGGGGUACGGUGGAGGACGGGGAUCUUUGUCUCCAAAGUUGACUCGUGGGAUCGUUUUGUGUAGAUGGACCCCAAUCUCCAGAGGACAAUGACUAGAUCAGCGGGGUUAAGGCCGGGCACCUCCUCCUGCUUGUCCUCCGAAUCCUGGACCCUGACAUGGAACCCAAAGCCAGGCAGGAGUCCACCGUUGUUGGGCCGUUGGUGAUGCCAGACUAUCUUCAGGGAGGACCUGGUGGUCUCUGCACUGUCUGUCUGUGUGUCUGUCUGUGUGUCUGUCUGUGUGUCUGUCCGUCUGUCCGUCUGUCCGUCUGUCCGUCCGUCCGUCCGUCUGUCUGUCUGUGAUGUAAUUGAGUCAUCAUGAGAUGACUGAACUGACUUUCACCAAAGUCAUUUACUUUGAUUCUCAUUUUUAGUGGCAUAGCGCCAGCACUAAACCUCAGUAGCUAGCAUAGCGCCAGCAAUAAACCUCAGUAGCUAGCAUAGCGCCGCCAGCAAUAAACCUCAGUAGCUAGCAUAGCGCCAGCACUAAAUCUCAGUAGCUAGCAUAGUGCCAGCACUAAACCUCAGUAGAUAGCAUAGCGCCAGCACUAAACCUCAGUAGCUGGCAUAGCGCCGCCAGCACUAAACCUCAGUAGCUAGCAUAGCGCCAGUACUAAACCUCAGUAGCUAGCAUAGCGCCAUCAGUAGCUAGCCUGCUGCCGGCAGUUACUGUGAGCCUGGGAAUGCCUUCUAGAAAUGUUAACGUGAUUAGCGCGCUAGCCUGGGUAAACCUGGGCUGAAUGGGCUGUGAUGCUGUCUGAGGGAAGGCUGUGACGCCCGUCUGCUAGGUGUGUGCGUGUAGGAGGCCACCCAACGCCGUUGCUAUUAUGCUACUUCAACGGUAUGUAAAUCUCUGCUAGCUUAGCGGCCGGCUAUGGGCUAGGUGAGCGCAGGAACACAGAGAAGCUAAUCUGUCUGACUUCACACACCGGCCGCAUUCCAAUAGAAUCCCCUCCCCUGGGCACCACAGCCCCGCGGCUCCUGACCCUGUUCAAACUUUGAACUUGCAUUAAUUACACACAGGCGGAUCGAAUGGUUUGUCGUGGUUUGUGACGGUGAACUCUAUGUUUGGAGUGGUUCUGACAGAGCUCUGUGUUGCGGAGGGAGGAUACAGUUUUCAGACUACGGAGAUAGCCGCUGAGCUCUCUCUGCAGCAGCAGCAGUGUGAACGAGCAGGAGAUGGAUUCCUUUAAUGAGCUGAACCCACACAGAAGCCGGUUCACUGCUGGACAGGAUCUCUUUAACGACAUAACUGCUUUAGCGCUAGCCCGACAAGCUUAAUGUCAAACAUGGUUAGUUUAGUGAUACCUCACUAAUGGUGGCCGUCUUUGGCCUUUUCUACAGCCAUAAAUACCUUCUCUUGUGGGGACUUUGGCAAGAUGUCAGGAUGUUUGGACCGUGGGACAAACAUCCCCCCCCACCUGGACCUUCAUGUGUCAUCACCGUGGAGCUGUGAGCUCUGGUCCAUGGAGCCCAGUCUGCACCACCACCUCCAGCCUGUGAUGCCGUGAGGGACCUCUCCUCCUCCUCAUCUCUCUCCCCGGGCAGGAUGUCUCCCCACGUCUCCUCGACAACGCUCCCGCAUCACGCCACAACAGAGUGCCUUCUGGGUAGCGCCUUGGCUCCUAGCUCAGGGCCGGGCCAGAUGGGACUCCCAGCCCAUCCCAUAAUAUCCCAG